rnacentral:rRNA from 1 species
UUCGUAGGGGGUUUUCUAAGUUUGAUGUGAAAUCCCGAGGCUUAACCUCGGAACUGCAUUGAAAACUGGAGGACUAGAGUACCGGAGAGGAAAGCGGAAUUCCUGGAGUAGCGGUGGAAUGCGUAGAUAUCAGGAAGAACAUCAACAGCGAAGGCAGCUUUCUGGACGGUCACUGACCCUGAGGGACGAAAGCGUGGGUAGCGAACAGGAUUAGAUACCCUGGUAGUCC